CACUUUAAUCAGAGCAGGAACAGAAGCAGGAGCAAUCAUUUGACCGAAAACGAAAGCAAUUUCAUGACGGAACAAAGGGGAAGGAUCCUUAAAACCGUCUGUUAAAGCCAACACCGCUUCUUCGUUACCAAUGUUACGCAAACGAAACAUCACACGAUAACGGUAAAAUAAGGGCAAAUUUUGGUCGACAAUUUCAGAACGAAGUUUAGCUACCUCAGAUUUCACAUCUUGUUCGUGAUCGGGCAUGGGAGGAGCGGGAUCGACAACUGAAUCAUACAUACUGGGAGUAAUCUUCUCAUUAUUCUUAUCGAGGCCGUUCUUCCAUUGAAUGCGGGCAAUAGCCAGUUCACAAGUUUCGCGAAUAGGAGCUAAAGGAUCUUCCUUAUAGUAUUUUUCCAAAACAGGAAGGCUUUCAGUAAAUCCCAAGGCUCCCAAGGCUUCAGCUGCUUCGUGACGUACCAUGACUUGUUGGUCAAGAUCGUUCACAAUAUUAAUCAAAGGCUGAACAGCAUAUUGUUGUCCUGAUUGCCCCAUAACAUAAGCCAUUUCAUGUUUCAGUAAUUCGGAAUCAUCAAUAAAGGCUUUGUAAAUCGCAUCAACGGCACGCUUGUCCCCCUUCUUUGCCAACGCAUUCAGACUAAAAAGGGCACGAUAGCGAAAGGAAAGAGGAUUUGAUUUAUCUAAAUUGACAAGCACGCGCUCUAAUUCAUCAAUAACUGCUUGGGGAACGGGUUCUGAAGACAUGUUUAACUGACAAGAAAUUUCUCUUGAAA